UGCACUGACUGGUUUAUGAACGUCUAUUCAUUUAGCGUUUUAAUGACCAUGUUUGCACACUGAUUGGUGUAAAAAAAAAAAAUAAAACUAAAUAAUAAUAAUCUAGCACACCUGUGCAGGUUUGACAUGACAUGACAGGUAGCUGUCUUGUGGGUGGUGCUGAAUCCUGUUAAAUGACAUGAGGGUCUCAUGCCUAUACACAAGGGUGUGUCAUUGCUGUUGCUUGACCAUGCAUUGGUUUCUGUGGUCAGUGAAUGAUAAAAACAAAAUUUACCAUCCAUUGAUGGAUGGGAAAUCCGUCAUGAGGCAUUUGUUUUUAGAAAUUGCUGCUCACAACCAAUGUUGCAAUGGAGUGUCUCCAUCUGUUGGUGGUAUUGGAAAGGCAUUAGUGCUAUGACAGGGUCUGAAGAAGAAGAAGACGGAAAAAAAUAUAUAUAAAAAGAAAAAGAGAGAGAGACUGACUUAGUGAGCGAGUGAGUGAGAGAGUGAGAGUGAGUGAGUGAGAGUGAAUAAGUGAGUCAGUGAUUGAGUGAGUGAGUGAGAACAAAUGAGAUAAAGCAAGUAAGUGAGUGAGAUCGAAUGAAUGAAAGUCUGAAUGACAGAAAGAAAAAAGGAUGAAGAAAGAAGCAUGAAGAAAAAAAAAUGUAUAUGGAGUUUUAGACAUGAGUGCAAUCUACAAAGCCGUUGAGGCUGAUCCUCAUGGGAGGAUUAUUGCACCAGGACCCUUAGCACUUUUAAAAUGCCAUUCAAUGCCACUUCUAGGGCUAGAUGUAAACUGCAGAUGACCAUGUUGUGGUAGUUACCAUGGAUACCCAAGUGAUGUGUGAGCUAACACAUAGGCCCAACAGAUUCCAAGAAGGCCAGAAUCACCAGCGGUACCACCAUCGGUUGUCAGGUUACCCGGAUUCAGCAAAUACCAGAGUCCAAAAUGAUGCAGGUUUAUACUGUUAAUUUUCAGUUUAUCGUUACAGUUGGUGUUAUUCCAUGUCGGAAGGGACGCAGCUACAGCCAGUGGGGUAACUAGAGACAGGCAGGCAGCUAUGUGCAACAAAGUUGGUGUUAUUCCAUGUCGGAAGGGACGCAGCUACAGCCAGUGGGGUAACUAGAGACAGGCAGACAGCUAUGUGCAACAAAGUUGGUGUUAUUCCAUGUCGGAAGGGACGCAGCUACAGCCAGUGGGGUAACUAGAGCCAGGCAGGCAGCUAUGUGCAACAAAGGGCUAGAUGUAAACUGCAGAUGACCAUGUUGUGGUAGUUACCAUGGAUACCCAAGUGAUGUGUGAGCUAACACAUAGGCCCAACAGAUUCCAAGAAGGCCAGAAUCACCAGCGGCACCACCAUCGGUUGUCAGGUUACCCGGAUUCAGCAAAUACCAGAGUCCAAAAUGAUGCAGGUUUAUACUGUUAAUUUUCAGUUUAUCGUUACAGUUGGUGUUAUUCCAUGUCGGAAGGGACGCAGCUACAGCCAGUGGGGUAACUAGAGACAGGCAGGCAGCUAUGUGCAACAAAGGUAGGCGUGUUGUUUUCAUAUGCAGAUCUGAAAUAUUGUCUUAUAUGCAAGAGGAGGAGUGAUGGGGGUUCAGGCAAAAGCCAGGCUAUGGAUUGCAUUGCUAAAUGCUCCAUCAGAGUGCAAUGGUCUCCUGUCCUUUUUUUAAGUGAUGAUGUGGGUUUAGCCUGUGCUGUAUGUAUGUAUGGGUGGCUGACUGCCACCCACCCAUAGAGUGUAUGGGAGGCUGGUUGGCUGCCAGCCUUCCUUCCAUUCCAAUGAGUAAUGUGAGUGCUCAUGAAGGGGACAUGGUUGGGUCCACCCCUUUCCCGGUUAUCCCCUCUAGGCCUUUUGGCUUAGAUCAAGUGUAAAAAAAGAAAGGAUCUUGCGACAGAUCGCAUCCUCAGGCACGUUUUUUUUUGUGUGAAUACUUGCACUUGGGCUACUUGUGAGCACAUACUGAUACGUUCCCUAUCUGGGGACCAUAAAUUAAAUGGAUUUUUGAGAAAGGGAGCUGAUUUGGAAGCUUGCUUCCGUCGCCCUAUGCAUUGACCCGAUGUGGCAGUAUCUUCGGGUAGUGAACAGUGCACCACCCCAUUCCAGUGUUAAACAAGAAAGAUUAUCAUUUAAUCCUCCGUGGGUGAGAAUUUGAGUUUGAGAAUUGGAGACCAAAAUGAUGAGUUGCACUGACUGGUUUAUGAACGUCUAUUCAUUUAGCGUUUUAAUGACCAUGUUUGCACACUGAUUGGUGUAAAAAAAAAAAAAAAAACUAAAUAAUAAUAAUCUAGCACACCUUUGCAGGAUUGACAUGACAUGACAGGUAGCUGUCUUGUGGGUGGUGCUGAAUCCUGUUAAAUGACGUGAGGGUCUCAUGCCUAUACACAAGGGUGUGUCAUUGCUGUUGCUUGACCAUGCAUUGGUUUCUGUGGUCAGGGAAUGAUAGAAACAAAAUUUACCAUCCAUUGAUGGAUGGUAAAUCCGCCUUGAGGCAUUUGUUUUUAGAAACUGCUGCUCACAACCAAUGUUGCAAUGGAGUGUCUCCAUCUGCUGGUGGUAUUAGAAAGGCAUUAGUGCUAUGACAGGGUCUGAAGAAGAAGAAGAAGAAGACGGAAAAAAAUAUAUAUAAGAAGAAAAAGAGGAAGAGAGAGAGACUGACUUAGUGAGCGAGUGAGUGAGAGAGUGAGAGUGAGUGAGAGUGAAUAAGUGAGUGAGUGAUUGAGUGAGUAAGUGAGUAAGUGAGUGAGUGAGUGAGUGAGUGAGAACAAAUGAGUUAAAGCAAGUGAGUGAGUGAGAUCGAAUGAAUGAAAGUCUGAAUGACAGAAAGAAAAAAGGAUGAAGAAAGAAGCAUGAAGAAAAAAAAAUGUAUAUGGAGUUGCAGACAUGAGUGCAAUCUACAAAGCCGUUGAGGCUGAUCCUCAUGGGAGGAUUAUUGCACCAGGACCCUUAGCACUUUUAAAAUGCCAUUCAAUGCCACUUCUAGGGCUAGAUGUAAACUGCAGAUGACCAUGUUGUGGUAGUUACCAUGGAUACCCAAGUGAUGUGUGAGCUAACACAUAGGCCCAACAGAUUCCAAGAAGGCCAGAAUCCCCAGCGGCACCACCAUCGGUUGUCAGGUUACCCGGAUUCAGCAAAUACCAGAGUCCAA